rnacentral:misc_RNA from 1 species
GGGAGCCGUAUGCCCGAAUUGGGCCCGUACGGAUCUGUGCGGGGGGCGAGAGGUAACUCGCGUCCCUACCGCGAA